rnacentral:rRNA from 1 species
GACGAACGCUGGCGGCGUGCUUAACACAUGCAAGUCGAACGGAAAGGCCCUGCUUUUGUGGGUUGCUCGAGUGGCGAACGGGUGAGUAACACGUGAGUAACCUGCCCUUGACUUUGGGAUAACUUCAGGAAACUGGGGCUAAUACCGGAUAGGAGCUCCUGCAGCAUGGUGGGGGUUGGAAAGUGUCGGCGGUGUGGGCUGGACUCGCGGCAUAUCCGCUUGUUUGUGGGGUAGGGGCUUACCAAGCCUUCGACGGGUAGCCGGCCUGAGAGGGUGACCGGCCACAUUGGGCCUGAGGUACGGCCCAGACUCCUACGGGAGGCAGCAGUGGGGAAUAUUGCACAAUGGGCGGAAGCCUGAUGCAGCAACGCCGCGUGCGGGAUGACGGCCUUCGGGUUGUAAACCGCUUUCGCCUGUGACGAAGCGUGAGUGACGGUAAUGAGUAAAGAAGCACCGGCUAACUACGUG